GAUGAACGCUAGCGGGAGGCUUAACACAUGCAAGUCGAGCGGGAUUAGCAGCAAUGCUAUGAGAGCGGCGCACGGGUGCGUAACGCGUAUGCAACCUGCCUUAUACAGGGGAAUAGCCCAUGGAAACGUGGAUUAACGUCCCAUAGGAUUACGGAUUCGCAUGAAUUUGUGAUUAAAACUGAGGUGGUAUAAGAUGGGCAUGCGUCUGAUUAGGUAGUUGGUGAGGUAAUGGCUCACCAAGCCGACGAUCAGUAGGGGUUCUGAGAGGAUUACCCCCCACACUGGUACUGAGACACGGACCAGAAUCCUACGGGAGGCAGCAGUGAGGAAUAUUGGUCAAUGGCCGGAAGGUUGAACCAGCCAUCCCGCGUGCAGGAUGACGGCCCUAUGGGUUGUAAACUGCUUUUGUACCUGAAGAAACCUGGUUACGUGUAACCAGUUGCCGGUAAGGUAUGAAUAAGCAUCGGCUAACUCCGUGCCAGCCGCCGCGGUAA
rnacentral:rRNA from 1 species